AAUUGGGAAUAAAUGUGAAUAUUUAGUUGGCUAAAGUCAAUGAACUGACACAAUUGAAAGAGGUGCUAAGCACAAGUUACCUACCAACGCUCCCGUUUUCCCUUAAACUAACGAGCUGUUGUUUUAUAAAUAGAAUCUAACGUGACGGGUUUGACAAAAUAAUAAAAACACUUAGGAAACAGAUGAUAUUUCUGUAAUAUAGCUUAACCUUCCUAGCACCCCCCCCCCCAAAUGUCAUUAAAGUAACAAUGCUUUUAUAUUUGCACAUUCAAUCAGUGACAACUGACGACGAUCCCAACAAACACACAACGUUGCCUCAACGUAGCGACCUUCCUACAACGUUGUACCAACAUUGCAAAAAGGUUGAGGAUUCUACGUUGUUUCUAAAGGUUGUCACAACGAUGUCAUAAGGUUGCCAUUUAAACAUCAUGAGGGUCGCAUGCUUUAGGUUGUGCUUAGGUGGCGUGGACGACCACUGUACAACAUUUACUGGUCACAGCUGAAUCAGUUUAAAUUUCAACAAGCCGUCGUCUCAUUCAUCAACGACCGAGGAGACGCUAUUUUUACAUGGAGAAUGUUUUCAGCUGUUGAAU